rnacentral:rRNA from 1 species
GACGACCGUGAAACAAGCCGCGCCAGAGGACCCUAACUCUGUUUUUAAAUGUUUUUCUGGUAAAAGCAAAUAAUUAAAACUUUCAACAACGGAUCUCUUGGCUCUGGCAUCGAUGAAGAACGCAGCGAAAUGCGAUAAGUAAUGUGAAUUGCAGAAUUCAGUGAAUCAUCGAAUCUUUGAACGCACAUUGCGCCCGCCAGUAUUCUGGCGGGCAUGCCUGUUCGAGCGUCAUUACACCCUCACGGCCUGGCGUUGGGGAUCGCAGAGCCCUGUCCCUCAAAUACAGUGGCGGUCCCGCCGAGCUUUGCGUAGUAGCUACCCUCGCAACUGGAGAGCGGCGCGGCCAUGCCGUAAAAACCCAACUUCUGAA